GUGAAUCAUCGAAUUUUUGAACGCAAAUUGCACUCUCCUCGGAGAGUAUGCCUGUUUGAGGGUCAGCCUAUAAAAAAUCGACGCCGUUGCUGUUUCGCGGUGACGUUCGUCGGAAAUUGGGUCAUCUUAAAUCUUUGGGCUUUAUGUGAGGUUUAAUAUUUUUUUUGGUUUUAUUAACGUGUCUAUGAGUUUUUUCUUUUUACGUUUAUGUUA
rnacentral:misc_RNA from 1 species